UACGUAGGGUGCGAGCGUUAAUCGGAAUUACUGGGCGUAAAGCGUGCGCAGGCGGCUUUGCAAGACAGAUGUGAAAUCCCCGGGCUUAACCUGGGAACUGCAUUUGUGACUGCAAGGCUAGAGUGCGGCAGAGGGGGAUGGAAUUCCGCGUGUAGCAGUGAAAUGCGUAGAUAUGCGGAGGAACACCGAUGGCGAAGGCAAUCCCCUGGGCCUGCACUGACGCUCAUGCACUAAAGCGUGGGGAGCAAACAGG
rnacentral:rRNA from 1 species